GUUUGUCAGACUCAUCAUUCUUUGAAGAACUGAACUGCACUUGGACUAUCAACGCCUUGAGGUGAGGACGGCCGGUUCCUGCUCCCCUGCACACUGUUU